rnacentral:lncRNA from 1 species
AAUUUACCAGCCAGCGCUGGUGCAUUCGACCUCUGCGCAACGAGAUACAAUUGGUGAGCGCCGCUCUUGUUGGGCUCUGGCCAGCUCUUCGGGCAGCCGGGGGUGUCUGUCGGGAGCCCCCCGGCCGGUUCCCGGGAGGGAUGCACGGGAGGAGUCCCGGGGUCCCGGGGGACUCCUCGGCCGCUCUCCGUGGUGCUGCAGCCGCCGCCCGCGGUGCCUCCUGCGGGAGGGCAGGAUCCCCUUCCCCGGGAGCACGGCCGGCCGUGCCGCUAACUCCUCCCUUCGGAUGCAAGGGCUGCACCGCCACAAGCCAUCCUCUCGCCGCCCCCCUCCUUCUCCUUUCUCCCGUUUCGACAGAGCGAGCGGGCUUGCUCUGCCUGCGCGGCGGCGGCUGCCCACCGCGGACCCCGUGGGCUUGGGGCGGGUGCUUUAAUUUUGGCAGGACCUGCCCGCCGCCCUUCCCGGAUAAACUUGGGCCGGCGCCCCCCGGCACCGCGUUUUGGGGCUGGUGGGCUCCCGGCUGCCUGCGGGGAUGCCCAGCAUCCAAUAAUGCAAUGGCUGGAAGACCACAACGUGUCAGAUUAACUGGGUGGACACAUUGGAUAUUAGCAACAAUUCUGCUGCUGUGGAGUUACCAGAUCAGUGGACAAGGUUGGUUCCAUCACAUGGGUUUGAUGCCUGUGAUUUCACCUGCAGCUGGACAUAGUAUAAGAGCAUAGUGAUCUUCUGACUGCAGUUGUGUUGUUUGGUCCGUUGCGGAACACCUUGUCCUCAAGUGCCCAGCACAGGGGGUGUAUGUUGCUGGGCAUGUAUGCAGAGGAAAAGAGAGAAAAACAUGGAACAAACCAAGCUUUGAGACAAUGCUGACAAGACUGUGGCUUGGCUUGUGCCCACGACACUUGCAUCAGGAAAAGCUGGCCAAAGGGCAGCAGAGGAAGACAACCAUGAAGUAAUGACCCUCGUGGAACUGGUGCAGCCCCCAGCUCAGAAGGGGCACAUACAUGCACGUUUUUAGACAUGUUACCAAGGAGGAGCCCAGUGGCCUUUAUGACAUGUGUCGGUCCCAUGUGUCAGAAUAGCUACCAGGUCAGAGGGGAUAAAACUGGGACACCCCAGAGGAGAGGGAGACACACUACUGAGGACAACGUUGCCUCAACAAGGACGCCUGUUUAAGCAGUGUGCCUGCUGACUCCUUCCUCCUGGAAAACAAUGACUGGGGAAAGCACUGCACUUCCUUGUUGGUACCCUUGUCAUCGCCCUGGGGUCAGUAUAGAAUCAUGUAUGGAAGUAGCUCACAAUAUCAUGUGACUAUCAAGUCAUGAUUGCUGAAGUUGAGGAGUAUAUAACUGGCAUGGAUAUAGUCCAAAGAGGUGUACUAGAAAUAGGGUGCACCUUUUGGGCAUGUGGCACCACACGGUGGCUACACGUCCAAGCAGUUCAAGUAGGGAAGGCAUUUGAGGAGGCUCACAUUCUGGUUGCUGCUGAGGUAGUUGUGCAAAGCCAGUACAAAAUUCCAGGAGGAGAUGAGGUUACACAGCCUGAAACGUGGCUUGUUAUGGAAGGAGACAAUGGCAGUAGUCAGCUGGCAGAGUUGAUCGUGACUUGGCAGGUAAUUACUGCUACCCCAACCACAUUUGCUAUUUAAACACAGAUUAAUGGGUCUAUUGUGUUAAGGGUGUAGCCUUAACAGAGGUGGCUAGUUACAUAUGUUAUGUGCUA